rnacentral:lncRNA from 1 species
CUGGGAUCGAGCUGGGAAUUCCAGCGGCUGCCAGUGCUGCAAGCACAUCCCUGUGACUCAGGGGAGCUCGGGGGUUUGCAUUUUCCUCCUCUCGAAGCCUUUAGGGUUCAUUUCCACACUUUUUCUGUUUUUAAUUCCCUGCAGAACAAUGAGGCUUUCACAACCUGAGGUGAAAAAGCUUUGGAAAGAUGGGUUUGUCCAAGAGGGAGUAUGGAGGAUGCUGGCAAAUAUCCCGACUGCCUGGAGCACUUCUUUAUCCUUUCAUUUUUCCCAAAGGAAAAGCCACCUGGAGCUGCCAGGCAGGAAGAUGCCCUGAGCUUUGCUGAGCAGUGGACAUGCAGCUGGAUGGGCUCUUUGUUGACUGACUCCUUCCUGACACAUUCCUGGGAUCUCCAGAGCUCCAAGGCUGCCUGCAGUGGUCCAGACUUUUCCUGGGAGCUGAUAUGGAGAAUUCCAAGGCUGUGGUGUGGAACAGCCCCGUGCCAUAUCAAUGUGUUGAGGAACGAUGCUCCAGCUGGAAGAACACCACAAAAUUCCCUCUCCCUCAUGUUCCCAGGUCAUUCAUGCACAAAGAGCACAGAUCCAUCCAGAGGUUUCGGGGCUUCCAGGGGUGCCUGCCCGGCUGGGAGUGGAUCAUGCCGAAGGGAGACCUUGGAAGUGCCACGAGCUGGAUAAAACGAUUUGUCGGAAUGCUAAAUUUGGCAGCAGCUUUUCAUCCAAACUGAAGCCACUUUGCACCUGUCUGGGGAGAUAAAGGGACUCGGAAUGAGCGUGAGUGGGAUUUUUCUGCCUGAACUGGAUACAAAGGCUUUGGCACAAAUGAAUUCCAGAGCUUCAAAGCCUUUCCUGAAUGUUUGUCCGCCCCUGUCAGGCUGUUUUAUUUCCCAGGUACGGUGAUAUCACCCAGCAGACCAUUUGCAGGCUGCUCCACUUGCUUUAAGGAGGAAUGGGCAGGCGAGGAUGUGCUGCUAUUCCCUGCUGGAUCAGCUUUUCUGGGACAGAAAUUUAUUUUUCCUCUCUAUUUUUCAAUGCUUUUUUUUUUUUUUU